CUUUAGACGGUCUAGGAUAUUAUAUAGUUCAAGUCGGGCAUAGGCUGUGGUAAAGCAAGCAAUAAAAAUAUUAGUGUUACGAGCCAUGCCUUCCAAACCUUUUGCAUUUUUCCAGCUAAGCAUGGCGGUGGAGUCAUCUAUGAAAUCUAAAGAUGAUACUUCAUAUUGUGGUAAAAAUACAUAGCCAAAAAGUUCAUCAGGGUCAGACACCAGACUAGUGGUUUGCAAAUUAGGUUUCUGUCCAAAUUUACCCCAUAAAGAAUUUAGAAAUAAUUUUGCAAUUUGUCUUUUUGCAGGGUUUACCUCUAUCCUUUCAGGUCUUAACACAACCCCCUCUUUGACAUAAUAGUCAUGAACAUACUUGUUUUUGUUUUCAGCGGUGGUACACCAAUUAGGAUAAUCUGAUGCCUCCUGCCUCCUGCUGUAGGUUUACCAUUG